AUUGAACGCUGGCGGCAGGCCUAACACAUGCAAGUCGAACGGUAACAGGAAGAAGCUUGCUUCUUUGCUGACGAGUGGCGGACGGGUGAGUAAUGUCUGGGAAACUGCCUGAUGGAGGGGGAUAACUACUGGAAACGGUAGCUAAUACCGCAUAACGUCGCAAGACCAAAGAGGGGGACCUUCGGGCCUCUUGCCAUCGGAUGUGCCCAGAUGGGAUUAGCUAGUAGGUGGGGUAACGGCUCACCUAGGCGACGAUCCCUAGCUGGUCUGAGAGGAUGACCAGCCACACUGGAACUGAGACACGGUCCAGACUCCUACGGGAGGCAGCAGUGGGGAAUAUUGCACAAUGGGCGCAAGCCUGAUGCAGCCAUGCCGCGUGUAUGAAGAAGGCCUUCGGGUUGUAAAGUACUUUCAGCGGGGAGGAAGGGAGUAAAGUUAAUACCUUUGCUCAUUGACGUUACCCGCAGAAGAAGCACCGGCUAACUCCGUC
rnacentral:rRNA from 1 species